AAGAUAUAAUAACUAAGGAUAAGCUUCUAACUUAAUCCUUUAGCAGUGAAAAUCUGUUAAUAUCUUU
rnacentral:tRNA from 1 species